rnacentral:rRNA from 1 species
GACGAACGCUGGCGGCGUGCUUAACACAUGCAAGUCGAACGGAAAGGCCCUGCUUUUGUGGGGUGCUCGAGUGGCGAACGGGUGAGUAACACGUGAGUAACCUGCCCUUGACUUUGGGAUAACUUCAGGAAACUGGGGCUAAUACCGGAUAGGAGCUCCUGCUGCAUGGUGGGGGUUGGAAAGUUUCGGCGGUUGGGGAUGGACUGGCGGCUUAUCAGCUUGUUGGUGGGGUAGUGGCUUACCAAGGCUUUGACGGGUAGCCGGACUGAGUGGGUGACCGGCGACAUUGGGACUGAGAUGCGGCACAGACGGCUACGGGAGGCAGCAGGGGGGAAUAUUGCACAAUGGGCGGAAGGCUGAUGCAGCAACGCCGCGUGCGGGAUGACGGCCUUCGGGUUGUAAACCGCUUGCGCCUGUGACGAAGCGUGAGUGACGGUAAUGGGUAAAGAAGCACCGGCUAACUACGUG